GGUAUAGUGGUGCAGGGGCUAGCACUGUUGCCUCACAAUAAGGAGGUUUCGGGUUCAAGCCCCGCUGACCA